GCUCGAACUCACAGACCUCAAGAUCAUGACCUGAGCUGAAGUCAGAACCCUAACCGACUGAGCCACCCAGGUGCCCCGCGAUUCUUUUCAUUUUCUAUGCAGAAAGUGUGCAAUUAGGCAAUUACCUUUCCCUCACCCUCCAUCUGAGCUAGCAUAAAACACAUUCUUUUUUGUACUGACGGUAUCUGUCGAGUAUUUAUAGUGGAAGGGGACGGGAGUAAUCUCUCUAGCAAUAAGUCAUUUACCUGUACUGUAGCCGCAAGAGGAAUGGAUGUGCCUUGUGUGGAAUUAACCCUGGGGUUUGGUUUUCAGUUAAGAAAAUGAGGCAGAAGGAAGUGUUAGCCAAGACCUUCCAAGGCCCAGCCAUUGUCUGUAGGACUCCGACCAGCCACGUUUACAUGUUUGAGAACGGUGGUGGGGACUCAGGGGACUCCUCUGAGGAAGAGUCCCACCGCGUGGCUCUGCGGCCCCGGGGCAAGGAGCGCCAGAAGAAGGGUGCCCCCCACCCUCACCAGCCAGGAGCGGGGGACGUGGUGCUGCUUCAGCGGGAACUGGCCCAGGAGGACAGCCUCAACAAGCUCGCUCUUCAGUAUGGCUGCAAAGUCGCAGAUAUCAAGAAAGUCAACAACUUCAUCAGAGAACAAGAUUUAUAUGCUUUGAAAUCUAUUAAGAUCCCAGUGAAAAAUCAUGGGAUCCUAACAGAGACCCACAAAGAACUCAGACCCGUCCCAAGCCCAUCCUCAGAGACUAGAGUGACCUUCGAGGAGCUGCCAGACCCAGACAGGGCAGCUGUAGGCGCCAGUGCCCUGUCCAGCCCACUGACGGAUUUCUUUAAGGGCAUUGACCAGAAUAUUGAGCGCGCCGUGCAGUCAGAAAUCUUUUUAAAUGAAAGCUGCUGUGGAGAGACCUCCAGUCAGCCGCUGCUUCCAGCGCCUCCGAAGACCCCAACAAACGGUGCAGACUGUGGGAUUCAGUGGUGGAAUGCUGUUUUUAUCAUGCUUCUAAUUGGGAUUGUUUUACCAGUGUUUUAUUUGGUCUAUUUUAAAAUACAGGCUACUGGCGAGAUCCCCAGCGGCUUGAACACAACCACUGUCCCCAAUGGCUCGAUGACCGUGAGUGCAGUUCCAGGGCAAGCCCCCAGAGUAGCCGUCCCAGUGCCAACCAUCCCCUCUUCAGACAGCCAGUUCAGUCAGACCACCCGGGCAGGGAACUAGCCAUCAUUGUUCCUAAAGAAUCCGGCCAGUGUCAGCAUUUGACCUCCUAACAUGCAUCACCUGCCAUCGGCCAGAGCCUUGGGUGCCGCAUUUCCUUUUCUGUGACAUACGGACACGUUUCAGAAAACACGAUUGUGUUCUCAGUAACACUCACCUUGGGGAGUAGGCUUGCCUAACCCAAGGCUGUGGGAGCCAAAACACCAGCACCCUCAGCCUCCUACAUCCAGAAGUUAACAGCAAGAGAAACAUUUUCACAUGGCAGGUGUCACUUCUUGAAGCUGCCUUCGGCUGUUUUGGGACAUGGUGAGCAGGCGCAAGAUGUAAGAAAGUGACUGAAGUCUAGGACACGUUCUCUGAAGCUGGGCGAGCUACAUGUCAGCCUAGGUCGUCCGGGAAGCAGACACGGACGGAGUUGGGAGCUCAAGAUUUCUUGCAGGAGGGAAGGGGCGUGCCCCAGGCUGUGUGCGGCCAUUGGCUGGGGGCUGGCUUAGAGGAGCUCUUCCUCAGCUCACACCCCGGGACAGCUGGGGAUCGGGGCUCACCUCUUACUCUCUGGGCUAAGCACAUUCUGCUGUGUGAUGGCACUCGUGCCCUCGGCCCCUGAGGAGUCCCUCUCCUUAGUGUUCCAGGAACACUUCACUUUGUGAACCCCCUUCACUUUGUGUGGAAGGUGGGAAGAAACACUGGUUUCCUCAGUUCUACAGCAGGUGCUGCUCUGACCCUGUAGGGAGAGACCAGACAGGCAGAGGGGAGCAGGCUGGGCCAUCCAGCUGGCAGAGGGCUCCGAAUGAAAAAUCAUCUUCUUGGCUGGUGCCAGUCGGACACAGAAUCGGCUUAAAAGUAAGAUAAAGCCUAGAGGAAGGCACCCGUGGGAGCUAACUAGGAAAUCGCAGUGAAUUGAUUUUAAGUAGCUGCAGCUGUGAUUAAACUAUUUUUAGCCACAGGACUCCACCGGCUUUCAAAACCUGCUAAUAAGAGCCUCACUGUAGCCAGCAAGUAAAACCAGCACAAAAAUUUAGCUUUUCAUUUGACAGCAAGAAUCUGCUUAGUUAGGAGCUGGCUUAAAAGGCAAACCCAAGGAAGGGAACACUUUCCACACUUCCCAGUUUAAGACAAGUUUUCACACCUGUCACUUCUGAAAACAAUUCAUUUACUGAAUCUUUUGCCACUCUCUCAGUAUCAUGUAUGCAUUUUGGGUAAAACAAAUCAUCUCACCCCCUAAAUUCAAAAAGACAGAACUUGCUAUAUAUAUCAUCCGAUCCCGUUUAGCAGUAUUCCCGCCCGCCCCCGCCAACCCUGGCUCAUCAUCUAUCCCGCGAGAAGUCAUUCCUAGAGCCUGGAUGGGCUUACCGGGUCCACAGCAGCUGCAGUGACGGCCAGGCCCGCCGAUGCUGGGGCCCGGACUGCCCACUGCUUCCUGAGGGGCCAAGGGCAGCCCAGAAGGGGAGGCCCCGGGAGCAGCUACGGGUGAGGCUGGUGAGACGCCACGGUGAUCCCCUUGACCGAGUCUCAAGGUGAGUAAAGGAGAUCUGCAGGUGGGAGAGGCCUGUGAGCGGAAGGGAAAGGAGAGGGACUCGGGGGGACAGAGGGGCCGACUGGCGGCAAACACGACAGAGUCUGGAGUACACAGGAAAAGCCAGUCCGUCUUUACUGUAGUGAGUGCAGGAUACAAAUAGUUUACAACAACCUCUAGCAUUUUCUUAACCAUUUGAUAAAAAGUUCACUAUAAUAUUUAUUGUAUAAUGAAGAAAAAACAACACAUUCAGGGAAAAAUUGAGAUUAACUUAUUUUUCUUAAAAGGUUCAUCUCAAGGAUGGCAACAAAGUCCAGCUUGUGCCGCCAAACGGUUUUACGUGAUCAAACCGUGUACAGCUUCUUGUGUGAACUGUUGACUACAAACAUUUACCAAAUACAUAAAUCUCUUUUUAAAAAAGCCAUUUUAAAUAUAGCAAAGCAGUGUCUUCUUGCACAGCAAAGUGAAGAAAGUUUCUACAGAGAAAUAAAAGUUUUACAUUUGUAAAAUCUUUUUCACAUUCUACUCAUCUAGCUUCUCAUGAUCCGACGCCAGGAGUUUUCUGGUUCCUUAUUUACUAUGUAUUUCUUGUGCGCAUGAUGGUUAACCAAGAAAAUAUGUUAAUGCUUUGUUAGCUGUCCUUAUAGGUAAAGGAAAUGGUAAAACAUAUACUGUUCUUUUAGAACAAACCCCUGAUUUAGUCUCGAACACAAUGGACAGAAUUAGGGCUCAAAAGAUGGAGUUUUGAUCGGGACCAUCUGCAGACAUACGAUGGUGGCUCUGCUCUCAGUGUCGUGCCGGGCGGCGCACGGAGGGAAACUGUACUUCAACCAGUGCGGUGUACUCUAAGCUUUUUUUGUUUUUGUCUUUUAGUAAUAAAAUACUUCAUCUGAAGGAUAAAA